GAUGAACGCUGGCGGCGUGCCUAAUACAUGCAAGUCGAGCGAACAGACGAGGAGCUUGCUCCUCUGACGUUAGUGGCGGACGGGUGAGUAACACGUGGAUAACCUACCUAUAAGACUGGGAUAACUUCGGGAAACCGGAGCUAAUACCGGAUAAUAUAUUAAAACGCAUGGUUCAUUUUUGAAAGACGGAUUUGCUGUCCUUUAUAAUUGGCUCCCCGCCGCUUUAGCAAUUUGGUAAGGUAACGGCUUACUAAGGGAAGGAUGCGUAGCCGACCUGAGAGGUGGACCGCCAACACGGGAACGGGAACACGGUCCAGACUCCGACGGGAGGCAGAAGUAGGGAAUCUUCCGAAAUGGGGGAAAGCCGGACGGGGCAACGCGGCGGGAGUGAUGAGGGUCUUCGGUUCGUAAGACUUGGUGUUUGGGGAGGAACAAAUGUGUAAGUAACUAUGCACGUCGUGACGGUACCUAAUCAGAAAGCCACGGCUAACUACGUG
rnacentral:rRNA from 1 species